CCUCUUCUUUCUUCUACACCCAAACACACGCAUCGACACAGAAAAUCUGCUCCCUUCCUCACGAAAUCCGCCCGCCCCAGAAUCCGCCGCCGCGGAACUCGCCGGAGAAGCAGCGGCGACAAGCCGCUGACACGCUCGGCUCUCCCCUCUCUUUCCUUCCCCUCCACUCAAACUCGGCCGGCAGCAGAAGCAGCUGGAACUAGCCACCACCGCCUGACCUAGCCCCACUGGAACCACCUUCCGGCGACACCAGCCAAGCCACCAUCACCCGCUCCUCCACACUCUCUCCUAAACUCCGCAGACCCGUCAAGCAAAAAUCAAGACUCAAGACUCCUUCUUUCUUCUUUUUCUUUUUAACAACAGUCAUGUUUGUAUAUAAGUAUAUAUAUAUGAACAGAUUGUAUGUAUAUGUAUUUGUAAAUGUCAUUUGUUCCAAAAUUUUGGUUCAAUUUAUAUAUAUAUAUACAAAUUUAAGUAUGACAUAUAUAUACAUGAAAGCAUAA
rnacentral:lncRNA from 1 species